rnacentral:rRNA from 1 species
AAACAUCGCCUCUUGCAAAACGAACGAAUAAGAGGUCCCGCCUGCCCAGUGACUAUAUGUUAAACGGCCGCGGUAUUUUGACCGUGCGAAGGUAGCGCAAUCACUUGUCUCUUAAAUGGAGACCUGUAUGAAAGGCAUCACGAGGGCUUAACUGUCUCCCCUUUAAAGUCAAUGAAAUUGAUCUCCCCGUGCAGAAGCGGGGAUACACUCGUAAGACGAGAAGACCCUAUGGAGCUUAAGAUACAAGGCGACUCAUGUCAAUCACCCGCUAAAGGAAAUGAACAAGAUGAACUCCGCUGGAAUGUCUUCGGUUGGGGCGACCGCGGGGAAAUACAAAACCCCCACAUGGACCAGGGUUACUACAACCCUAAAACCUAGACCCACAGGUCAAAUCAACAGUAUUUCUGACCAUCAAAGAUCCGGCAAU